rnacentral:rRNA from 1 species
GAUGAACGCUGGCGGCGUGCCUAAUACAUGCAAGUCGAGCGAACAGACGAGGAGCUUGCUCCUCUGACGUUAGCGGCGGACGGGUGAGUAACACGUGGAUAACCUACCUAUAAGACUGGGAUAACUUCGGGAAACCGGAGCUAAUACCGGAUAAUAUAUUGAACCGCAUGGUUCAAUAGUGAAAGACGGUUUUGCUGUCACUUAUAGAUGGAUCCGCGCCGCAUUAGCUAGUUGGAAGGUAACGGCUUACCAAGGCGACGAUGCGUAGCCGACCUGAGAGGGUGAUCGGCCACACUGGAACUGAGACACGGUCCAGACUCCUACGGGAGGCAGCAGUAGGGAAUCUUCCGCAAUGGGCGAAAGCCUGACGGAGCAACGCCGCGUGAGUGAUGAAGGUCUUCGGAUCGUAAAACUCUGUUAUUAGGGAAGAACAAAUGUGUAAGUAACUAUGCACGUCUUGACGGUACCUAAUCAGAAAGCCACGGCUAACUACGUG